GAUGAACGCUGGCGGCGUGCCUAAUACAUGCAAGUCGAGCGAACAGACGAGGAGCUUGCUCCUCUGACGUUAGCGGCGGACGGGUGAGUAACACGUGGAUAACCUACCUAUAAGACUGGGAUAACUUCGGGAAACCGGAGCUAAUACCGGAUAAUAUAUUGAACCGCAUGGUUCAAUAGUGAAAGACGGUUUUGCUGUAACUUAUAGAUGGAUCCGCGCCGCAUUAGCAAGUUGGUAAGGUAACGGCUUACCAAGGCGACGAUGCGUAGCCGCCCUGAGAGGGUGAUCGGCCACACGGGAACUGAGACACGGUCCAGCCGCCUACGGGAGGCAGCAGUAGGGAAUCUUCCGCAAAGGGCGAAAGCCUGACGGAGCAACGCCGCGUGAGUGAUGAAGGUCUUCGGAUCGUAAAACUCUGUUAUUAGGGAAGAACAAAUGUGUAAGUAACUAUGCACGUCUUGACGGUACCUAAUCAGAAAGCCACGGCUAACUACGUG
rnacentral:rRNA from 1 species